ACUGUGAUAGUGUCCGUUUUCUUUAUGUAACAAAAUCUAAUUUCUUUGUGCUAAGGCAAGAGCAGUUCUAAAGAGAGAAAAAAGAACACUUUAGCAGUCAGGACAAAUGAUGGUAUUUCGUUAUUAUUUUCAUCAUAGAUUAAAAUAUAUCCCUCAUACUUUGUAAAUAGGAGUCUAUCAGAGAUACACUGUGAUAAGGGCAAGACAAUUAGAAA
rnacentral:lncRNA from 1 species